rnacentral:tRNA from 1 species
GGAGAGAUGCCGGAGUGGUCGAACGGGGCGGUCUCGAAAACCGUUGACCUCUUUUUGGGGUCCAAGGGUUCGAAUCCCUUUCUCUCCG